UAGGGAAUCUUCCGCAAUGGACGCAAGUCUGACGGAGCAACGCCGCGUGAGUGAAGAAGGAUUUCGGUUCGUAAAACUCUGUUGUUAGAGAAGAACAGCGCAUAGAGUAACUGUUAUGCGUGUGACGGUAUCUAACCAGACAGCCACGGCUAACUACGUGCCAGCAGCCGCGGUAAUACGUAGGUGGCAAGCGUUGUCCGGAUUUAUUUGGCGUAAAGCGAGCGCAGGCGGUCAAUUAAGUCUGAUGUGAAAGCCCCCGGCGCAACCGGGGAUGGUCACUGGCAACUGGUUGGCUUGAGUGCAGAAGAGGAGGGUGGAACUCCAUGUGUAGCGGUGUAAUGCGUGGAUAUAUGGAGGAACACCAGUGGCGAAGGCGACUCUUUGGUCUGAAACUAACGAUGAGGCUCGAAAGCGUGGGUAGCAAACAGG
rnacentral:rRNA from 1 species